ensembl:lncRNA
CGGGAGGCUUGUAUAACUCCACAUAAGAGACAUCAGAAGCUCAAAAUAAAAAAAGGGACCAGUGAAUUUGGAGAAAGAAGGCCAGAUACUAGAAAUGAAUCCUGGUGUUUUGGAGAAAGCAAUGUGCCAAGUUUCAGAAGAAUUGUCUCUUGUCUUUCCUUGGAGAUACCACUGCCCUUACGACAGAAUGGCAUGCGGACAUGCCGGCUGUGACCACUCUGAUCAAGAGGCAUCUCUUUGGAAGGGAGUCAAGUGCAAAGCAAAGAAGAACAGAAAGAUCAAAGGGGCCUGGGCCAUUGGUGCCACUACAGGGUGUCUGUACCAGACCGAGAAUGUCUCUUCCUAAUCUUGAUAACAUGAGGGGAAAGAAAGCCCUAAGUUGUUUAAGCCGUUGCUUUAUUGUACUCUAUUUGAACAGCCAAAGAAGUGCCCAAUGUACUGCUCCUUCCCACAGGGUCUGAAAUGAAGGGAAAGGAUCAGAAGAUGGAAGUGGAUAUCGAUAAGUUAUAGGGAGGGAGGGGGGCUGUUAAAGUAGAUUAAACUUGAUGGCUUCAACUUUUAGGAUGAAGAAAGAGGCAAUGUCUACUGAAACUGGGUGUAGUAGGGCUUGGAGAAAAGAGAUUUUUAAUCGCUUUAAUGGUGUGCUAAAAUAAA